rnacentral:misc_RNA from 1 species
UCCGGGUUUCGCCCGGCAGUCUCCCUAGAAUAUUCAACUAAGGACAGGGGUUGCGCUCGUCGCGGGACUUAACCCAACACCUCACGGCACGAGCUGACGACAGCCAUGCACCACCUGCGCAGAAGUCCCUUGCGGGAGGUGCUCACUUUCGGGCACACCCCCCUCUCGAGAGGCUUCCGUACAUGUCAAGGGUAGGUAAGGUUUUUCGCGUUGCAUCGAAUUAAUCCACAUCAUCCACCGCUUGUGCGGGUCCCCGUCAAUUCCUUUGAGUUUUAAUCUUGCGACCGUACUCCCCAGGCGGUCGACUUCACGCGUUAGCUGCGGUACUAAGGAAGUCUCCUUCCCCAACACCUAGUCGACAUCGUUUAGGGCGUGGACUAC